rnacentral:rRNA from 1 species
AGCAGUAGCCACGGUAAUACGUAGGUGGCAAGCGUUGUCCGGAAUUAUUGGGCGUAAAGCGCGCGCAGGCGGCCUAUCCAGUCUGUCUUAAAAGUUCGGGGCUCAACCCCGUGAUGGGAUGGAAACUAGUAGGCUAGAGUAUCGGAGAGGAAAGCGGAAUUCCUAGUGUAGCGGUGAAAUGCGUAGAUAUUAGGAAGAACACCAGUGGCGAAGGCGGCUUUCUGGACGAAAACUGGCGCUGAGGCGCGAAAGCCAGGGGAGCGAACGGGAUUAGAUACCCGCGUAGUCCCUGUCUCUUAUACC